AAAAUGCGAUACUUGGUGUGAAUUGCAGAAUUCCGCGAAUCAUCGAAUCUUUGAACGCACAUUGCGCCCUCUGGCAUUCCGGGGGGCAUGCCUGUCCGAGCGUCAUUACGCACCCUCAAGCCCGGCUUGUGUGAUGGGCCCCGGCGUCUCGUUCGCGAGACGGGCCCGAAAGGCAGCGGCGGCGUCGACCCGAUGAGCCCGAGCGUAUGGGGACUUCUGUCACACGUUCGCGGUGCGGACCGGCGCCUGCUUGACUUUUCUGAUUAUCCAGGUUGACCUCGGAUCAGGUAGGGAUACCCGCUGAACUUAAGC
rnacentral:misc_RNA from 1 species